UGUUACACUUGCCUACAAUUGUUUUUCUUUUUGCUUAUAUAAACAAUCUAUUAUUUAUUAGCUAUAAAUAAUGCAUUUUUCUGUAUGUUUAGAAUGCACGUGAUUUCUGUAUAUUAAAAAUGUACAUGGUUGAAGGCACCAAAGCAAGCGCUGGCAAGUCGGGGGGUACCUGAUUUCAUUUUGGCCAUGAGACGUUAAUUCAGCCUCUCCUUGCCCCUGCCCUUACGAGGCUGACGACACGGUCACAGCCUAUUUUUAGCUCACUCCCUCUUUUCCUGUCCAGACUGGCUGCACAGCGAGGUGGAGUUAAGGUUGCAUGGACAGCCAUAAAUUGGACGUUUCCUAACUUUGAAGUGCUUGACCACGCAAUCUAAGCGAGGGCUCUUCAGGGCAGUAUUUCUGCAUGUGGCAUUAACUGCAUUGGCUGGGGAUGUCAAACACAGGGGUAGAGAAGCUGUAGAACAGAAAAGACCCAUCGGACUAUUGAAAGUGUUGAUUUGAAUAGGUGGGAGAGUCAACAGAGCCUACACUUGAUCUGAAUGGCCAAGAAGAUGUCUCCAAGCUGAGAGGGGGGAAGCCUUUGUUCCUUCAGUCCCUGCCGUGAUGUUUUCUUUGCCUUUGGUUUUCCCUCAUUUCCUCCUAAGGAGGUUUGGGCUCUUGCUUUUGAGGAACCCUUGGCUUGUGUAGUGAAUUUGUGUGCUGGUGGAAGCGAGGGUGUCCCUGGGAAUGUGCACACACACGCACGCUCCCGUCAUCGCACCAGCAGACGUGUGCUACCAGCUCGUAGGUCCUUGCUGAUUGGCGUCCUUGCCUUGUCUUGCCUUGCCUUGCACACUCCCUCUUUCCCAUGUCACUGUCAGGAGCCAUUCCACACGUUGGAGGGAAAGGAGAGGCCUUUGUGUUUUACAUAGGAAGGAUAAUCUCUUUUUUAGCUGCUGGAAGAAUUACUCUGAAGGUGAUUAUAUGCAAAGCACAUUUAUCUUUGCUUGAAAUAGCACUUUUUUGUUUUCUUUUUUUCCCUUUGUUUACUGGUGGGUAUCUCCAUUCUGGCUCUCAGUAGAAUGCUUGGCUGUCUGUUUUUGAGUGGAGUGGACACCUUGAGCAAAUCAGUCUGGAAAGUAAGCAGCCCUUUGUUUUACUUUCCCAGGUAUAAUGCAGUCACAGCCCCUUGCACACGCCUUGUGCUGAUACCAGAGCACUCUCCCCCAGCUGGCAGUGUAUUUGCCCUGGGUUAUAAUUAUUUGACCCAGCAAUUUUGUGUUUCCAGAAUUCCUGGAACCUGAUACCUGCCUGGGGCUGUUUCUGGAUUGGCACAGGCAUCUAAGUGUCCUGUGUUUGGGUUUCCAUUGUUUGGGUUUGGCUUGUAUUUCAUGAGCAUCUCUUUCAUAACUUUCCCCCUCUCUCCUACCUCUCAGUUCAGCAAAGGGCCUGUCUAUCUGAAUGCAGGCAAUAAACAUCUGUUCUCACCCUCACUUCUGUUAAUGAGAUAGAGACAGGUAAGCAUCACACAUACCAACUUCCCUGCUCUCAGCAACAUCAAGGAAACGGUGACAAGCUAUUAAUGGAAAGUGAUGGUCUGGGUGCUAAUUAGUGUUUCCUUUUCAACUUUUACCUACAUGUCUGCUGAGAUGCCCAUCCCAGCCUCUUCUCUCUCCCUGCAUCCCUUUGUUUCCAGCAUGUUCUGUGUUCACUGUGCACAUCCCAUGUCAAAGAGUCUUCACUGUUUUCCCCUACCGAUCACUUUCUGCAUCCCUUCAUUCCUUUUUUUCCCCCUUUUCCCUGGCACCUUCAUUCUUCUGUGGUUGUUUUAGCAAAGAAUAAGCAUGAUAUGAUAGUAGGAUCUGAAAGCUUGGGGAUGGGAUAUGAGAAGUUGGUCAGGAAUUGCUCAUCUUCAUCACUGGGUAGUAAUAUUUGCUUGUGGCACUAGUGCAUGGGGUCAAAUUACCCUGGGGAUCUGAGGUCAGAGAUCUAUCCCCUCUUCCCACAGGUAAUGCUGUAGGGAGUCUCCCAGCAGCUCACAGGUCUUGAUCAUGGAGCAAUUAGUAUUUAAAGUAGAUCUUCUGGUAAUGCCCAGAGACCAAAUAGGACAGGCCUCCAUGGUGUGAGCCUGCAGGAGAUGACAGGUCCUGCCCCAGAGAGUUUGUGAUCUAAACCCUAAAUGGUUUUGCUGUCCACUAGGCCCCUGUUUUUUUAGUGGCUGGUUUUUGAGAUCCACCCCAAUUUAUGCUGCCGCAGCAACAUGAUUCCUGGUCUCAGCUUGGUGCCCGGUCUGUCUCGUUUCUCUUUCUUCUGGUCCUUGGGCUCUGCCCCUUCCCUAAGGACACUAAUCAUCCCCUCCUCACCUUUUUUGCACAGGCUGUGGGUUUCUUGCUGCCAGGCUUGUGUCCCAAGGAGCUGCCUAAUCUGCCCCUGUCAUUCCCAGUCACAGGCUCUGCACACACCAUAGCUUUAUGGGGAAUGCUUGCAGGGCAGUGGGAAGAGGCAGCCAUGGUUUGCACAUCAGCUAAUUAAUUUUCAUGACUGAACGAUGCUGCCUGGUCUCUUGUUUAUACUCCUCGCCUCUCCCCUUCUCCCCCUCCUCGCUGACACACACACAAGACGACACAUCUCGUAGGAACGUCAGCAUCCUUCCACAGCCUUGAGAUGCGAGCGGUUAUUCUGUUGGCUUGUCAAACGUGGGUUUCCCUGCUUCAUGGUACACAGGGGCCCCCUGUUUCACAUUUGCUGAUUCUUAUUAGACCCAGCGCGCCAGGGCCCUGUCUCUCCCUGCAAAGCAACGCGCCGCAUCCCAUCCAUAAAUCCAACCCUGGAACAAAGCCUCUUCUACCCUGCCCCAUAUUUCUACCCAGCCUGCCCGCUUUCCCCUCUCUCUCUCUCUCCCCCUCUCCCGUGCUGAAGGUUUCCUAGUGCCAGGGAGAUAUGAUAAUUCUUGUGAAGAGAGCAUGAAAUGCCUCUGCUCUUUGUGUCUGUUUAAUUCAAUGAGAAUCCCAGCCCCAGAUGUCAUGAAUGGUGGGCUUUGUGCUGGCCCUUCCUAAGCCCUAACCGCCAGCCCAGCUUUCUGUCUUUCUUGUUUCCCACCACUGGAUACUGAUUAACAAACUAAAUUAUUUUUCCUCCCUAAUGAUGUUUUCCCACUUUGCCCACCAGGCUGGAAGAAGCCACGGGGAGGAAAGAGUUUGUGCAAAGGAUGAGAUAGCCAGGGAGAAAAUUAAAGAGACAGUGUUGCUCUCUGAGCUCUGGCAAUGCAGGUCCACUCGGCUUUAUUUCCUUAUUAGAGAACGGGGUCGUGUCUGGCUGUAUUUUACGUGGCUGGGUGUAUUUCAGCCAAGGGACGGGGUUGAAAGCAUCUGCACAACGUAUGCUCUGGAGCAUGCCAAGACAUGUCUGAGAGUUCGUGGAGUGGGAUGCCUUGGGAAGGGCUGGGACGUCUCCACCUGAGCAAGAAGAGAUCCCCAGGAGUGGACAAGGGACUUUUGAAGCCUGAGAGUUCCUUCUUGCAGUUGGUUGGCACCUGCCCAGACUUGCCAUCUGACUUCUCCGAGUUUCUCCAGGAGGGUCCCAGCCUGCUUCUCCAUUGGCCCCAGAAAGACGACAGCUUUGUCUCGUGAACACAGUGGAUUUCUGCAUCACUUUGAAUUAAAGCGGUGCAGCCAUGGGGAGGGAGCCAGGGCAACACAGGGAGCCAAGGGAUCAUCCCACAUCGCUCCUGUAUGUUGGCUACAAUGCCCUCAAUACCCCAGAGCAGGGCCAAAAUGCUUAGGCAGACACCUGAGCCAGUCACUGUCCCACCUGGUGAAAUACCAGGUGUGUGAAGUUUGGAACGAGCUUUUAGCUCCCGGCUUUGCUCAUGGAGCAGAGCUCGGCCCUUGCUACUCUUGAUCUCUGGGUCUGUGGAGCUGUGGGAGUGCACCCUUCCCACAGGCACUGUGCUUGGAGCCCAGAGGACCAUGAGCCUGUCCAGGCCAGGCUGCCCUGCUGCUGUUGUACUGCACCCUCUGUGUUCCUGUAAGAGAAAUGUACUGCCUGUAAUUCCCUCCCAUUCAAUCCCUCCCCCACCCCAUGCACUGUUGAAA